UUCAUAAUUUGUCCACAAAAUAUUUACAAAAUAUUUUUAUUAACAUAAAUAGAAUCGAAUAACUGCGCUAUAUAGGGACCUUUGGAAAUCCUGCAAUUGGAAUUAUAAGCCUCUAAUUAUAAAUUUUAAAAGCUAAUCUACAGAAGGGCAAUUUGCAAUCAAAAACAGAACCUAUUUACAUAGUAUAUAAUUAUAGUUCAUAUAGUCUUUUAGCCUACAUAUUAGUCAUACUUGCGCUACAUAUUAGCUAUAUUUGCGCUACCUCGGAUUGUAACGUGAUAAUCACCUAAAGCAUUUUUUAUUAAAAAAGGGCGGCAACCUGUUUUGUCGAAGUCGGUAUUUUUUUUAAGGUGGGUCGAUACAGUUUUCAAAAAUUCAGGUGUUCAACACUUCGACAUGUUGAAACUACGCAUUUUUAGGAUUUAUUCAACAGAUUUUGAAGUCUUUAUAUAUUUUGAUAACUCUACUUUCAAAUUAUAUUAAUUUUAGUAGCAGAUUGUUUGUUGCUAUGACGACAUACGUGUACGAAAUUCAGAAUUUUUUUAUUUUUUGUAUAAUGAAAGUUUUUAGUGGUGCAAUACAGCAUGCAAAAUUUGAACAUAGGGUCACCAGACAAAAUAAAGAGAUAUAGCACAUUGUUUUUCAAAUGGAAAAUUCUAAUGACGUCAGCAAUUGACAUAAAACGCUAUAGAACACGCGCAAUGGCGUGAUAUGGCGAGAGCAAUUGCUCACGUCAGGUCAUUUUGGAAGUUCUUUCAUUUUGCUAAUCAGUUUCCGCGACCUGCGCGUAAAAAUGGUCACCCGGUUUUGAGUUCGCGAUUCUUGAGCAGAGUUCUUGUGAUAACUAUAUCGAGCCACCUUAAGUGUGAAAAAUGUGUAUGUUUUACUUUUUUCAAAAAACCACCAAUGAAUUUAUACUAAAAUAAUUAUUUGUUGAAGGCGAGGUGAAUUUCGGUGAAUAAUGUAAUAGCCUAGCUGG